UACGUAGGGUGCGAGCGUUAAUCGGAAUUACUGGGCGUAAAGGGUGCGCAGGCGGCGGUUCGACAAGUCGAGGCGUCGGAAAUCCCCGGACUUGAACCUGGGAACUUGCACUUGAAACAUACGUAGUGCUGGAGUGAUGGAGCAGGAGGGGAGGUGGAAUUCCACGUGUAGCGGUGAAAUGCGUAGAGAUGUGGAGGAACACCGAUGGCGAAGGCAGCU
rnacentral:rRNA from 1 species